rnacentral:rRNA from 1 species
UACGUAGGGUGCAAGCGUUAAUCGGAAUUACUGGGCGUAAAGCGUGCGUAGACGGUUAUGUAAGUCAGAUGUGAAAGCCCCGGGCUCAACCUGGGAAUUGCAUUUGAGACUGCAUAGCUAGGGUGCGGAAGAGGGAAGCGGAAUUUCCGGUGUAGCGGUGAAAUGCGUAGAUAUCGGAAGGAACACCAGUGGCGAAAGCGGCUUCCUGGUCCAGCACCGACGUUCAGGCACGAAAGCGUGGGGAGCAAACAGG